GACGAACGCUGGCGGCGUGCUUAACACAUGCAAGUCGAACGGAAAGGCCCUGCUUUUGUGGGGUGCUCGAGUGGCGAAAGGGUGAGUAACACGUGAGUAACCUGCCCUUGACUUUGGGAUAACUUCAGGAAACUGGGGCUAAUACCGGAUAGGAGCUCCUGCUGCAUGGUGGGGGUGGGAAAGUUUCGGCGGUUGGGGAUGGACUCGCGGCUUAUCAGCUUGUUGGUGGGGUAGUGGCGUACCAAGGCUUUGACGGGUAGCCGGCCUGAGAGGGUGACCGGCCACAUUGGGACUGAGAUACGGCCCAGACUCCUACGGGAGGCAGCAGUGGGGAAUAUUGCACAAUGGGCGGAAGCCGGAUGCAGCAACGCCGCGUGCGGGAUGACUGCCUGCGGGUUGUAAACCGCUUUCGCCUGUGACGAAGCGUGAGUGACGGUAAUGGGUAAAGAAGCAACGGCUAACUACGUG
rnacentral:rRNA from 1 species